GGACAGUUCCCAGAUCCACAAGUGAGGAUGCUGGGAUCAGUACCCCCACCUCCAGACCGCGGUACCCGCAGCAGAAACACCGUUCCGUGCCUCCGGCCCCUUGUCAGGGAAAAACAACGCCGCUGGCUGCCAAGGGGAGGGAGAGCAGAGAGCCACUUACGGGGAUGUGCACUCGCAGCAUGAGCUUCUUCUGGCUGGAGCCUCUCCUGCCGCUGCCAGAGGAGUCCUUCUUCUUGGUGUCCAUGGCAGUGCUGCCCAUCCCGUCCCCUCCGCGCUGCGGGCGGCGGGCCCAGAGAGAGUAUCGAGAAACGAAAGGGGUUCCAAAGGCGCUUCACCGCGGCAAUGCUCCGCUCCCAGGGCUGAGCUCUGGGCAGCAAAUCCAAGCGCGGGUCUCUGUCUUAAGACAGCCGUAGGCUUUCGUCUGCUCGGGGAUGAACAUUCUGGAUCAAACUACAAGUUUUGGGAUGCCACGAAAGGAAGCAGAUCAGCAGAUCCAGAAAUGAAACUGCUGCGUAACAAUCAGAAAGGGAUCUCCUCUGAUCCUCUAAGAUCACAAAGAUGACCUUCGAAGCUCCAGUCAUGUUUUUAAACUUCUCAUCGCAGCUCUGAGGAGCAGUGACAUGCUUUAAAAAACCUAAGCCAAAAUUCUGCUGCAGUUGUUACUGUUUGGUAGCUUGACUCCCCAUAAAGUCAAGUACUAAUAUCAGCCUGCUUAAGAAUAAAGGAACUGUUCAGACAGUAA